GAUGGCACCUAGGAAACAACACCACAAGGACAGAGCUCACCUUCCCCAGUGGAGACAACAGUUUGAAGGACAGACUUUUCCCUGAGGAAGCUUGUGGUCCCUCUGAUUAAGUGGUUCUCAACAGUUCAACAGUUCUUUGCAAAAAUUGUGAAAUGUUUAGGACCACUUGACCAGUCAGACAAAUGCUGCCAGUUUGGGAAAAUGCUGACUUUGAAUGGAUCUUUAAAAAGGAAACCGUCUCUCAAGGCCUUAAUGUAAGAGCAACUGCGUGAUUUCCUCGUGUUCUCUGUUUCUUCACUUACCCUCUGUCUUUUACUCUCAUUGCUGCCUCUUGUGUUACAUUGCCAAAUGCAGUCAAGAGCUGUGGGGGACUGUAAAAGUCAUCAGGCUUUGGUCAUUUAAUUUGGCUGGCAAACAUACACCUUUUUAACCGCUCUGCUGCUCCAGUAACAUUUGUCUUUCUUCUUUUUUACUGUUGUUACUAUUCAGAGGUACUUAUUCAAACAAGUCCAUAAAGAACCAUUUGCCUCUGUUGAGUCCGUACAGGAUGACAGGCCGAGAGUCUUCAUGGAUGGUUGCUAUCCAAAGUACUGAAACUCUAGUAUAUCUGUUAACAUUUUCCAUCACAUUUUUCAGACUAGAAAAAUAAGAAGAGAAUAAUUCUGUCUAUUUUUGGCCAUUGAAGAUAAAGAAUUAGCCUAUGAAGUUUUGGUGCUAAUAUUACUGCUGCAUUGUUGAAUAGGCUCUUGUAGUUGUUUAAAGUUGUGCUAAUUUUAACUCCUGUAUAUACAAUUGGAUAAUGAAGUCUGUAGCAUCAAUUCAUAUUCUUGAUUCAGAGUCUUGUGAGAACCCUGUAUCUCUAGAAAGUCAACUAUUCAUGAGCUCAGAAUACCAGCCCUGUUUGACAACCUUCUCGCUGAAGCCUGACACGCACUGCUUUUUCCUGGAUAAUCAUUCAGAGUUUUAUUUUAUUGUUAUUUAUUUUAUUACUUCUAUUUUCAUUUAUUUAUCUAUGAACCUUUCCUGUAUAUUUUUCUGUACAUGUAAUUUUUAAAAAAUUUUGUUAGCUACGACCCUGGAUGAAAAUAAGUGGGAUCAGGGAGGGGUUGAUGGUAACAGACUGUGUAGCUACAUGUAAAAUUGACUGCCCUUUGUAUCUUGAAAAAUACCAAUAAAAAGAGUUUUUUAAAAAAG